rnacentral:rRNA from 1 species
CCUACGGGUGGCAGCAGUGGGGAAUAUUGGGCAAUGGGCGCAAGCCUGACCCAGCAACGCCGCGUGAAGGAAGAAGGCUUUCGGGUUGUAAACUUCUUUUCUGAGGGACGAAGAAAGUGACGGUACCUCAGGAAUAAGCCACGGCGAACUACAUGCCAGCAGCCGCGGUAAUACGUAGGUGGCAAGCGUAAUCCGGAUUUAAUGGGUGGAAAGGGCGUGUGGGAGGGAAAGCAAGUCAGAUGUGAAAACUCAGGGCUCAACCCUUAGCCUGCAUUUGAAACUGUUUUUCUUGAGUGCUGGAGAGGCAAUCGGAAUGCCGUGUGUAGCGGUGAAAUGCGUAGAUAUCCGGAGGAACACCAGUGGCGAAGGCGGAUUGCUGGACAGUAACUGACGCUGAGGCGCGAAAGCGUGGGGAGCAAACAGGAUUAGAUACCCUUGUAGUC